CAGCCGCCGCGGGAAUACGGAGGGUGCAAGCGUUAAUCGGAAUUACUGGGCGUAAAGCGCACGCAGGCGGUCUGACAAGUCAGAUGUGAAAUCCCCGGGCUUAACCUGGGAACUGCAUUUGAAACUGUCAGGCUGGAGUCUUGUAGAGGGGGGUAGAAUUCCAGGUGUAGCGGUGAAAUGCGUAGAGAUCUGGAGGAAUACCGGUGGCGAAGGCGGCCCCCUGGACAAAGACUGACGCUCAGGUGCGAAAGCGUGGAGCAAACAGGAUUAGAUACCCGCGUAGUCCCUGUCUCUUAUACAC
rnacentral:rRNA from 1 species